rnacentral:snRNA from 1 species
GAAUAUUGUUGUGACCAAC